CGGGGUGCAGCAGGCGCGAAAACUCUGCAAUGCAGGCAACUGCGAUAGGGGGACAUCGAGUGGCAUCCACCUUGGGUGCCUGUCCAACCGUCUAAAAAACGGUUGUUAGCAAGGGCCGGGUAAGACCGGUGCCAGCCGCCGCGGUAAUACCGGCGGCUCGAGUGGUGGCCGAUAUUAUUGAGUCUAAAGGGUCCGUAGCCGGCUUUGCAAGUCCCCUGGGAAAUCCAGCGGCUUAACCGUUGGGCUUUCAUGGGAUACUACAUUGCUUGGGACUGGGAGAGGUAGGAGGUACUCGAGGGGUAGGGGUGAAAUCCUGUAAUCCUUCGGGGACCACCGGUGGCGAAGGCGUCCUACCAGAACAGGUCCGACGGUGAGGGACGAAAGCUAGGGGCACGAACCGGAUUAGAUACCCGGGUAGUCCUAGCCGUAAACGAUGCCCGCUAGGUGUCACGACGGUCGUGAAUCGUCGUGGUGCCGUAGGGAAGCCGCGAAGCGGGCCACUUGGGAAGUACGACCGCAAGGUUGAAACUUAAAGGAAUUGGCGGGGGAGCACAAGGGCGAAUUCGCG
rnacentral:rRNA from 1 species